GAAGAACGUAGCAAAAUGCGAUAAGUAAUGUGAAUUGCAGAAUUCAGUGAAUCAUCGAAUCUUUGAACGCACAUUGCGCCCGCCAGUAUUCUGGCGGGCAUGCCUGUUCGAGCGUCAUUUCAACCCUCAAGCACAGCUUGGUGUUGGGACUCGCGUUAAUUCGCGUUCCUCAAAUUGAUUGGCGGUCACGUCGAGCUUCCAUAGCGUAGUAGUAAAACCCUCGUUACUGGUAAUCGUCGCGGCCACGCCGUUAAACCCCAACUUCUGAAUGUUGACCUCGGAUCAGGUAGGAAUACCCGCUGAACUUAAGCAUAUCAAUAAGCGGAGGA
rnacentral:misc_RNA from 1 species